GUCUCUUUGUUAUUUAUAUAUAAAGAGUCGGGCCUGCUCGGUGAUUAAUUUUUAACAGCUGCGGUAUUUUAACUGUACUAAGGUAGCAUAAUAAUUUGCCUUAUAAUUUGAGGCUAGAAUGAAUGGUUUGACGAAGGUUAAUCUGUCUCUACUUUAUUUUUUAGAAUUUAAUUUUUAUAGUGAAAAAGCUUGAAUUUUUUAAAGGGACGAGAAGACCCUAAUGAGCUUAUAAUUUUAUGUUUGUCAUUAAUAUUAGUGAGGUGAAAUAUAAAUUUUAAUUGGGGUGAUUGAGGAAUAAAAGUAUAUAAGUAACUUCCUUAAACUUAAUGUUGUUGGAUAAAGUAACCAAUAUUUUUUUGCUUAUAAUAUAGUUACCAUAGGGAUAACAGCGUAAUUUGUUUAGAGAGUUCUUAUUGAAAAACAAGAUUGCGACCUCGAUGUUGGAUUAAAGUAACCUUAAGGUGCAGAAGCUUUAAUAGGUAAAUCUGUUCGAUUUUUAAAACUUUACA
rnacentral:rRNA from 1 species